GGCUGAUGUUUUGGAAACACUAGAACCUGAAAGUCCACAU
rnacentral:tRNA from 1 species